CACAGAGCAAGCCAGAGCAGCUGCUAUUGUGAUGUCAGCAGAGGGCUGCCACGUCACAGCGUUGUCACCAGGAGGUUUUCCUGGUGCCCACAAGGCCUCAGCGUCCAGAGCAGCUCUUGGCGUGCUCCUUGCAGGAGGAUCACCUCGUCUGAGCUGUUCUCAGAUUACGGCCGGUGUUCCUUUUGUCUCUGUAUUUUCUUGCACAGUCCUUGGACUGGUGCAAGUGUCCUGUUUUUACCCUUUUUACUUGCACAGUCUCAGGACUUGUGCAAGUGUCCUGUUUUACCCCUUUUUUACUUGCACAGUCUCAGGACUCGUGCAAGUGUCCUUUUUUUCCCCUUUUUACUUGCACAGUCUCAGGACUUGUGCAAGUGUCCUGUUUUUCCCCUUUUUACUUGCACAGUCCCAGGACUUGUGCAAGUGGGGUUUUUUUCCAUUUUUGUUUCCUGGCCUACGGACUCGAGCAGCCCUGCUCAAAGGAUGGAGCGAGUCCGUAGAGCAGUCAGCAGCGCCUUUUCAUUGGCGGCUUCUCGGAAAGCUUUUCUUCGUUUGGCUGCUCGCCUCAGAGGUGGAAGGAGUCCAGCGCGCGCUUCAGUGAGUGGGACGGGCACCCUUGACAUUCCUGGUGUCUGAGGAGUGUGGAGAAAGCUGUGGGCUUGGCCUGUUGCAGUAGAGUGCCAGCCUGGCAAGCUGAAAGAAAGGCCACAUCAGCGCCUGUCCCGCGAGGAGAGGAUCUUGCCAGUCAGGACUCCUGGGCCCAGACAGGAAAGGCGGAGCGGCAGGAGAGCACGGAC